AUUGAACGCUGGCGGCAGGCCUAACACAUGCAAGUCGAGCGGAGCGGCGGACGCGUGCGUGAUACCUAGGAGUCUGCCUCGUACUGGGGGAUAGCGUCCAGCAACGGGAGCUAAUACCGCAUACUCUCCGCCGAGCCUGGGUCUGAUUCGCUAGUUGGUGGGGUAAAGGCCUACCAAGGCGACGAUCCGUAGCUGGUCUGAGAGGAUGAUCAGUCAGACUGGAACUGAGACACGGUCCAGACGCCUACGGGAGGCAGCAGUGGGGAAUAGUGCACAAUGGGCGAAAGCCUGAUCCAGCCAUGCCGCGUGUGUGAAGAAGGUCUUCGGAUUGUAAAGCACUGUAAGUUGGGAGGCGUGACCAACAGAAGAAGCACCGGCUAACUUCGUGCCAGCAGCCGCGGUAAUAA
rnacentral:rRNA from 1 species